UUUUGACCGUGCGGAGGUAGCGCAAUCANUUGUCUCNNANAUANAGACCUGUAUGAAUGGCUAGACGAGGGCUUAGCUGUCUCCCCCUUCUAUUCNGUGNAAUUGAUCUAUCCGUGCAGGAAGCGGGUAUANUUAUACNAGACGAGAAGACCCUUUGGAGCUUAAGGUACAAAAUUCAGCCACGUUAAAUGACUCUACAAAAAGCAAGAACCUAGUGGCCAGUGAAGUUUUACCUUCGGUUGGGGCGACCACGGAGGAAAGAUAAGCCUCCGAGUGGACUGGGCUAAAUCCCCAAAGCCAAGAGAUACAUCUAUAAGCCGCAGAACAUCUGACCAAGAAUGAUCCGACUGAAAAGCCGAUCAACGAACCAAGUUACCCUAGGGAUAACAGCGCAAUCCUCUCCCAGAGUCCAUAUCGACGAGGGG
rnacentral:rRNA from 1 species